rnacentral:ribozyme from 1 species
AUAAAAAAAAAUCAAAAAGAAAAAUUCAAAAGGGGUUUCUGAAUUGACCGAUUCAUUUGUUCAUUAUAUGUUGCUAUGCUUGUCCAGCGCUUUUCUUCUGCCUGUUCCUUUUCU